rnacentral:lncRNA from 1 species
AGAAGAAGAAGAAGAAGGGGGUGUGCCAGGUGAAGGGAAUAAUGGUGGAAAUGGAAACAAUGGUGAUGAUGGUGGUGGUGAUGGUGGAGGCUGAAAUGGGUUAGGAAAAAGUGGUGUUGGGCUAGGUGGCUGCAAAGGGUUAGGUAUAAGUGGUGAGCUUGGUGGCUGCAAUGGGUUAGGAACUAAAGGUGGUGGCUGCAAUGGGUUAGGUACUAAAGGUGGUGGUUGAAGUGGGUUUGGAACAAUAGGUGGUGGAAAAAAUGGGAUAGGUGAAAAAAAAGGAAGAUGUUGAG